rnacentral:snoRNA from 10 species
UCUGCACUCUAUUAAAACCUCCCACUGCUGUUGGUGUGGCGGUGUCGGAAGUGUGCUACAUUACUGCUAGGCGCUCGCUGGCCCCGUGAGGACGCAAGUCCCAUGAACGGAGUAUGGUAGCACCUAGCAACAAG